rnacentral:tRNA from 1 species
GAGGGUAUAGCUCAGUGGUACAGCGCAUGCUUAGCAUGCACAAGGUCCUGGGUUCAAUCCCCAGUGCCUCCA